CAAUAGCGUAUAUUAAAGUUGUUGCAGUUAAAAAGCUCGUAGUUGAAUUUCGGGUCCCCGCGCUCGGCGCUUCAUUGUGCUGUCGUGGUGUCCCUCCUCGCCGUAAGGCGUCCUUUACUGUGAAAAAAUUAGAGUGUUCAAAGCAGGCAAUCGCUUGAAUACAUUAGCAUGGAAUAAUAAGAUAGGAUCUUGUCUAUUUUGUUGGUUGCGGACAACGAUAAUGAUUAAUAGGGAUAGUUGGGGGUGUCCGUAUUGAGCUGUCAGAGGUGAAAUUCUUGGAUUUGCUCAAGACGAACUACUGCGAAAGCAUUCACCAAGGAUGUUUUCAUUAA
rnacentral:rRNA from 1 species